CUUUUUUUUUUUUUUUUUUUUUUCGAUUUUGGGUUGGCGGUGGGUUUUGUUUGGUUUUCUUGUGGGAAUUGAAUUUGGUAGUGUCUGGGUUUUGCGUUUUUGUUUAGUUUGGGAGUUGGGUUUGGAAAACUUGUGGCCAGAUAUGGGAUUUCAAGUGUUGUUUGGGGACUUUGGGUUUUAUCAUCUUCCGGGAAUUGGUUUUUUUGCUUCUGAUUUAGAUCAGUUUUGUUAUGAUUACGAAGAUUUUUUGAGUAUCAAGUUUCGAAUUCAAUUGGGUUUCAUUUCUGUUUUAGGGCCUAAAUGGGUUUUGUUGUUUAUAAUGGUAUGUAUGUUUUGAUUGGGUAAUUCGGAAAAUUGGAUUCAAUAGAUUAUUGAAA